UACGUAGGGUGCGAGCGUUGUCCGGAAUUACUGGGCGUAAAGAGCUCGUAGGUGGUUUGUCGCGUUGUCCGUGAAAACUCACAACUCAAUUGUGGGCGUGCGGGCGAUACGGGCAGACUGGAGUACUGCAGGGGAGACUGGAAUUCCUGGUGUAGCGGUGGAAUGCGCAAAUAUCAGGAGGAACACCGGUGGCGAAGGCGGGUCUCUGGGCAGUAACUGACGCUGAGGAGCGAAAGCGUGGGGGAGCGAACAGG
rnacentral:rRNA from 1 species